rnacentral:rRNA from 1 species
GCUACCAUGCAGUCGACGGUAGAGAGAGCUUGCUUCUCUUGAGAGCGGCGGACGGGUGAGUAAUGCCUAGGAAUCUGCCUGGUAGUGGGGGAUAACGUUCGGAAACGGACGCUAAUACCGCAUACGUCCUACGGGAGAAAGCAGGGGACCUUCGGGCCUUGCCGCUAUCAGAUGAGCCUAGGUCGGAUUAGCUAGUUGGUGAGGUAAUGGCUCACCAAGGCGACGAUCCGUAACUGGUCUGAGAGGAUGAUCAGUCACACUGGAACUGAGACACGGUCCAGACUCCUACGGGAGGCAGCAGUGGGGAAUAUUGGACAAUGGGCGAAAGCCUGAUCCAGCCAUGCCGCGUGUGUGAAGAAGGUCUUCGGAUUGUAAAGCACUUUAAGUUGGGAGGAAGGGCAGUUACCUAAUACGUGAUUGUUUUGACGUUACCGACAGAAUAAGCACCGGCUAACUCUGUGCCAGCAGCCGCGGUAAUACAGAGGGUGCAAAGCGUUAAUCGGAAUUACUGGGCGUAAAGCGCGCGUAGGUGGUUAGUUAAGUUGGAUGUGAAAUCCCCGGGCUCAACCUGGGAACUGCAUUCAAAACUGACUGACUAGAGUAUGGUAGAGGGUGGUGGAAUUUCCUGUGUAGCGGUGAAAUGCGUAGAUAUAGGAAGGAACACCAGUGGCGAAGGCGACCACCUGGACUGAUACUGACACUGAGGUGCGAAAGCGUGGGGAGCAAACAGGAUUAGAUACCCUGGUAGUCCACGCCGUAAACGAUGUCNACUAGCCGUUGGGAGCCUUGAGCUCUUAGUGGCG